rnacentral:lncRNA from 9 species
UUUUUUUUUUUUUUUUUUUUUUUUUUGAUAACUGCCUGGGUUUAAGGAUACAUAUGAAUAUUUUCUUUUCCCAGCUGCAGCAAGAAGUGCCUGGAUGUUUCAGAUUCCUGGGGCUUUCAGAGAUGGUUCAGGUUGACAUUGCUGUCCUCUUAGGAUAUUAAGGGGUAUUAAGGGUUUUUAUUCCGAGGACCUUCCUGCCUUUUGGUGGGUUAGAAAUAUGAUCCAGAUUAGUGUCUUCCAAAUUACAAAUGUAAGAUAGCAAUAAUACUGAAUAUUACAUUAUCAUCAUUAAAGGCUAACAUUUAUGCAGGGCUUUCACUUGGCUUUCAGUCAAUAUGCUAAGUUUUUAAUAAGAUUUGAUUCAUUUAAUCAUCAAAACAGCCCCCACCAGAUAGGUGUUUAUUAAUUGUGUGACCCCGAGUAAGUUCUUAACCCCCCUGAGCGUUAGUGCCUUGGUCUGCAAAAUGGAGAUAAUAAUAGUACCUGCCUCAUGAGGCUGUGAUGGUGAUGGAAUUAAAUAAUCCACAGAAAGUGCUUAGCCCCACCCCUAAGGAUGAAAUGAGAGCUCAGUGUGUGCUCUUGUUCUCAUUUCACAGAUCAGGAAUCUGAACUCCCACUAAAUCUUGCCUGAGAUCACUUAGCUGAGAUUUAAACCUCAAAGUGAUAUCCAUUAGCCAUUCUGAUGUACUGCCUUCCUUAGUUAAUUGUCGGUGUAAUUUAGAACAUUAAUUAUUUAAGCUGUGUCUUUUGUCCCCUGACUAUAUUAUGGUUAGGUAGAGAACAGGGCUACAAAGAUCAAAGCCCAUUGAUACAGCCCUCACUGGCCAUUCUGCAACCCACAGAAGGAUGAUGGAAGGGGCUCUGAGGGGCUGUGGAUGGAUCCACGCAUAUCCAUCACCACUAUUAGAAUAAAGCCAAGCCCUACCAUUAGUAGCUCUGGUUAAGGUGACCCUGUGUCCUGAUUCUCCCAAGCCAGUCUUGAUUUAUCACAGUCUUCCUGGUAUGAUUAUUAAUGUGUCCUCUCAUUCGCUAAAGGUCUGUGUUUAGAGAAUCAAUUAUGUGCUCACUUCACCUGUAGUCAUAUCAUCUUUAACAAAUAAAGGGCAGCAUGUUCUCAUACUCUGUUGGCUCCUUGGUCCUGUUCCGAGAUGCUCAGCAACCAUGUCUUGUAUACCUGGAUUUUUUCCCCCCUACCCCUUAUUGCCGAUUGCUUUAAACAUCAAGCUUUUCUCCUUGUAAUUCUUCUCUCCAUUCUUCCCCAACACUUCCUGGUUUCAGAUCCUUGCUUGUGGAAUGAGGUUUAGGGAUGUAGGCUCUGGAAUCCCAUGACUAGGGUCUCCAUCCUGGCCCCACACCCACUGGCUGGCAAAUCACUUCCCCUUUCUGCAAGCCCUGGUUCCUCACCUAGGACUGGAGCUCUAGGCUGGACCUCAUGGGUUUGUUGUCAUAUGGUGCUGGGGAGUUCCCAUUGUGGCUUAGCAGGUUAAGAACCCAACUAGUAUCCAUGAAGAUGUGAGUUCAAUCCCUGACCUUGCUCCAUGGGUUAAGGAUCUGGCAUUGCCGUAAGCCACAGUGUAGGUUGCUGACUCAGCUCAGAUCUGGUGUUGCUGUGGCUGUGGUGCAGGCCAGCAGCUGUGGCUCCGAUUCGACCCCUACCCUGGGAGCAUCCAUGUGCCGGCCCUAAAAAGCAAAAAGUGAAAAAUAAGAAUAAAAAAAAAUAUGGUGCUGGAUAAAUCUUAGCUGCCUGUGGUGGGAACCACACAGAGAUGGUGGGUUGGUCCAGCAGAUGAGUCAGGAUGCCUUCCCUGAUUUUAUCCUAUUGUCCCUGCCAGGCACACAUACACCUCACGAAACAUGAUGAAAUAUCCCUGGAUUCUGAUAUAGAAACUCUUACAAGAUUAUUUCAUUUCUGUUAAGCAAGGCUGAAGGCUAAGCAUGCAGGUCAGGAGAAGCCCAGUGGUACGAAUUGUGAACUGCAGUGCUUGUCGCCUGCCCCGUACCUGUCAGGCUACCUGGAAUUUCUCUGCUACUUUUUGCAUGGUUUUGAAAUUUUCUCUGCCUCUGAGAGUGUAUUGUUAAAAUCUCAGAGCCCCUGGCUUGGCCCCUAUGUCCUCAGGAGUCCUAAUGCUCUGACCCCAACCCUGCCUGGUUUCCCAGUAUGGUGUCCCUCACUUUAGACUUGUCUGUACAACCUCUGUUAAGUCUCAUCUAUUAGGAGCUGGUCUCUGCUAGUUAUUACAUUUGGAGGUAUGAAAACCGGGAGUUCCCAUCAUGGCGCAGCAGAAACAAAUCCAACUAGGAACCAUGAGGUUGUGGGUUUGAUCCCUGGCCUCGCUCGGUGGGUUAAAGAUCCGGCAUUGCUAUGAGCUGUGACGUAGGUCACAGACAUGACUCACAUCUGGCAUGGCUGUGGCUGUGGCUGUGGCUGUGGUGUAGGAUUGGAGCCAUAUCUGAGAUCUACACCACAGCUCCAGUGAGCCACGAUGGGAACUCCAAAAGAUAGAUUUCUGAUGACAUUGUUUUGGCACCUGAUCUGGCUGUGCUUGAAGCCAGUCUACCCUGAUUACUGAACCAGUUAAAUCCUGUUUUAUGCUUAUGCCAUUUCGAGUUCAGUUUCUGUCACUUGCCGCCCCAAAGGUCCUGGUAUACGCAGCAGGAAAAUGUGUUAUCUCUCACUAAAGGGUUACAUUUCAACAACAGACAUGUUUUCAGCCUGAAUAGAUGAACUUGAGCAGUGGAAUUUUAGUCAUCAGUGUCAAGCCGAAGUGGCCAGAAUAUUCUGAAAUGGGGACACUCCAAUUCCACCACACCAGUGACUUUCUUAGUGCCGACAUUGAUUCCAGCCCCACUCAAAGGACGGACCCUUUCAGCCCGAAGGUGCACCUCGUUUGGCUUCAGCCCUGUGCGACCUCUGCAUGAGGGACCAUUUCUCAC